rnacentral:rRNA from 1 species
UACAGAGGUCUCAAGCGUUGUUCGGAUUCAUUGGGCGUAAAGGGUGUGUAGGUGGCGCCGUAAGUCGGGUGUGAAAUUUCGGAGCUUAACUCCGAAACUGCAUUCGAUACUGCGGUGCUUGAGGACUGGAGAGGAGACUGGAAUUCAUGGUGUAGCAGUGAAAUGCGCAGAUAUCAGGAGGAACACCGAUGGCGAAGGCAGGUCUCUGGGCCACUACUGACGCUGAGAAGCGAAAGCAUGGGGAGCGAACAGG